CAAUUCAUUAGUGAAGAUCUGGCGUUGACCUAUAAUUGCUAACUUCUACGUCAUAUGGUUUUUUGUGGAGAGUUGUCUCAUUGUCAAUCAUACUAUAUCUUCUCAUUUUUAUAAGGAAGUUAUAAACAGUUGCAUAGGUUAAUUCUAACAAUCCAUUACAGGAAUACAGGAAGAGAAAGAGACGGCACAAGUUUUAGCAGUACAAGGAGAUAUGAGACAUACAUUUUCUUACAACUGUUCAUUCAACCAUGACUUUGGCAGAAUUACUGGAAUUGCAGCUUCAACAGAGGGAAACAUUUUAUUGUGUGACUAUGAUAAUAAAAAUCUAAUUCUAGUAGAUUCUCUUUGACUUUUUUUAAGGAAGCUUAUCGUAGACAGUGAACCUUAUGAUUUGGCUAUUACAAGUAAAAAUAUAGGAUAUGUUACUCAACCUAACACCAGAUCUGUAUUACAAAUAGAUCCAGACAGAAUGGUUUUGCUCUGCAAAUCAACAUGCAACGACCUAAGUACUUCCGUGUUUUGUGUGUCAGCACUCCCGAAAACUACAAUGGGUUUGUUUUCUGAGCAGGAGGAGGCAAUGCCAUGUAUUCUUGGCGUUACACUACAUAGUUCAAUGUACGCAGUCCCUGUUGUUAACAACAAUGGCGAAGAAAACAUUAAUCUUACAGACAUAUCACCUAGACAAAGAUUUCUAAUUGGUUCCCACGCUAUUAAGUUCUAUGCAGUUAAUGACUAUACGUCAAUUUCUUGUAAAGGAGGUCAGAACUGCAUCACGUACAGUCAACAAUCUCAAACUCCGAGAAACUGUAGUAUUGCCACCAUGGAUAAACCAACUGACAUAUGCAAGGACGAAUAUGGAUACUUCUACGUUAGCGGACAGGGUUCGAACAAUAUACACCGACUGAAACAGGAUUUAAAGGUUUUAGAUAUACCACUGCAGUCUCAGCAUGGAAUCAACAAACCGGUCGCAUUGUGCUUCAGCCAAAAUUAUACUAAAUUAUAUAUUGUCAAUGAAUGGGGAAAAUCAGUUUUGGUCUUUGAUGUUUAUUGAUGAUUGAAUACAAAUACUAAUCUUCAA